AGUGAACGCUGGCGGUAGGCCUAACACAUGCAAGUCGAACGGCAGCACAGUAAGAGCUUGCUCUUACGGGUGGCGAGUGACGGACGGGUGAGGAAUACAUCGGAAUCUACUUUUUCGUGGGGGAUAACGUAGGGAAACUUACGCUAAUACCGCAUACGACCUACGGGUGAAAGCAGGGGAUCUUCGGACCUUGCGCGAUUGAAUGAGCCGAUGUCGGAUUAGCUAGUUGGCGGGGUAAAGGCCCACCAAGGCGACGAUCCGUAGCUGGUCUGAGAGGAUGAUCAGCCACACUGGAACUGAGACACGGUCUAGACUCCUACGGGAGGCAGCAGUGGGGAAUAUUGGACAAUGGGCGCAAGCCUGAUCCAGCCAUACCGCGUGGGUGAAGAAGGCCUUCGGGUUGUAAAGCCCUUUUGUUGGGAAAGAAAAGCAGCAGGCUAAUACCCCGCUGUUCUGACGGUACCCAAAGAAUAAGCACCGGCUAACUUCGUG
rnacentral:rRNA from 1 species